AUUGAACGCUGGCGGCAGGCUUAACACAUGCAAGUCGAGCGGAGAUGAGGUGCUUGCACCUUAUCUUAGCGGCGGACGGGUGAGUAAUGCUUAGGAAUCUGCCUAUUAGUGGGGGACAACAUUCCGAAAGGAACGCUAAUACCGCAUACGUCCUACGGGAGAAAGCAGGGGAUCUUCGGACCUUGCGCUAAUAGAUGAGCCUAAGUCGGAUUAGCUAGUUGGUGGGGUAAAGGCCUACCAAGGCGACGAUCUGUAGCGGGUCUGAGAGGAUGAUCCGCCACACUGGGACUGAGACACGGCCCAGACUCCUACGGGAGGCAGCAGUGGGGAAUAUUGGACAAUGGGGGGAACCCUGAUCCAGCCAUGCCGCGUGUGUGAAGAAGGCCUUAUGGUUGUAAAGCACUUUAAGCGAGGAGGAGGCUACUGAGACUAAUACUCUUGGAUAGUGGACGUUACUCGCAGAAUAAGCACCGGCUAACUACGUGCCAGCAGCCGCAGUAAUAC
rnacentral:rRNA from 1 species